UUGACUGAGUGGCGGACGGGUGAGUAACGCGUGGGUAACCUGCCUCAUACAGGGGGAUAACAGUUAGAAAUGACUGCUAAUACCGCAUAAGACCACAGUACCGCAUGGUACAGGGGUAAAAACUCCGGUGGUAUGAGAUGGACCCGCGUCUGAUUAGGUAGUUGGUGGGGUAACGGCCUACCAAGCCGACGAUCAGUAGCCGACCUGAGAGGGUGACCGGCCACAUUGGGACUGAGACACGGCCCAA
rnacentral:rRNA from 1 species